rnacentral:rRNA from 1 species
GGGGGCCCGCAAGCGGUGGAGCAUGUGGUUUAAUUCGAAGCAACGCGAAGAACCUUACCAGGUCUUGACACCCUCUGCUAUCGAUAGAGAUAUCGAGUUCCCUUCGGGGACAGAGUGACAGGUGGUGCAUGGUUGUCGUCAGCUCGUGUCGUGAGAUGUUGGGUUAAGUCCCGUAACGAGCGCAACCCUUGAUCUUAGUUGCCAGCAUUAAGUUGGGCACUCUAAGGUGACUGCCGGUGACAAAUCGGAGGAAGGUGGGGAUGACGUCAAAUCAUCAUGCCCCUUAUGACCUGGGCUACACACGUGCUACAAUGGAUGGAACAGAGGGCAGCGAAACCGCGAGGUGGAGCGAAUCCCACAAAACCAUUCCCAGUUCGGAUUGUAGGCUGCAAUUCGCCUACAUGAAGCAGGAAUCGCUAGUAAUCGCGGAUCAGAACGCCGCGGUGAAUACGUUCCCGGGGCCUUGUACACACC